rnacentral:tRNA from 2 species
GGGCCUAUAGCUCAGCGGUUAGAGCAGCGGACUCAUAAUCCGUUGGUCGACAGUUCAAAUCUGUCUGGGCCCACCA